rnacentral:rRNA from 1 species
UCGCCCGCCGCGCGCGGCGGGCGGGGCGGGGGCACGGGGGGCCUACGGGAGGCAGCAGUGGGGAAUUUUGGACAAUGGGCGCAAGCCUGAUCCAGCCAUGCCGCGUGCAGGAUGAAGGCCUUCGGGUUGUAAACUGCUUUUGUACGGAACGAAACGGCCUUUUCUAAUAAAGAGGGCUAAUGACGGUACCGUAAGAUAGACCCGUCCCCC